rnacentral:rRNA from 1 species
UGUCAGAAAUGUCCGUAGCGUCGACUGAGAUGGGGGAAAGGUAAAUCCGCCCCAUAAUUCAAGGUCGAAACUAGAGAGCAUUCAAGUUCUCGAAUUCACUGGAAGGACGUCCAAGAAAAGCUCCUAGGGUUGAAAACUAGUAACCGUACUGAAACUGACACAGGUAGGCGAGACGAGUAGUCUAAGGCGCUCGGGAUAAUGGUGGUUAAGGAACUCUGCAAAUUGACCCCGUAAGUUCGCGAUAAGGGGUGCCUCUAAAGGUGCAAGCCUUUGGGGGCCACAGUAAAUCGGCUCUAGCAACUGUUUAUCAAAAACACAGGACCCUGCUAACACGCAAGUGGAUGUAUAGGGUCUGACGCCUGCCCGGUGUUGGUAGGUUAAGGAAGAGGGUUAGCUCGUAAGAGUGAAGCUCGCAACCGAAGCCCCAAUAAACGGCGGCCGUAACUAUGACGGUCCUAAGGUAGCGAAGUUCCUUGUCGGGUAAGUUCCGACCUGCAUGAAUGGCGUAAUGACUGGAGCACUGUCUCAACCACCAACCCGGUGAAAUUGUAGUCGUGGUGAAGAUGCCACGUACCCGCGGUUAGACGGAAAGACCCCAUGAACCUUGACUGUAGGCUGAUAUUGGGCUGAGGUAUGUUUUGUGUAGGAUAGGUGGGAGGCUUCGAAGCGGUGGCGCCAGCCAUCGCUGAGCCAACGUUGAAAUACCACCCUGAAUAUGCUUUAGUUCUAACCUUGAUCCCGUGAAACCGGGCAAGGGACAGUGUCAGUUGGGCAGUUUGACUGGGGCGGUCUCCUCCAAAAGAGUAACGGAGGAGUACAAAGGCAUUCUCAGCCUGGUCGGCAAUCAGGCAUUGAGCGCAUUGGUAGAAGAAUGCUUAACUGCGAGACCCAUAAGUCGAGCAGAUGUGAAAGCAGGUCAAAGUGAUCCGGUGAUUCCGUAUGGAAGGGUCAUCGCUCAUCAGAUAAAAGGUACUCUGGGGAUAACAGGCUGAUCGCUACCGAGCGUCCACAGCGGCGUAGCGGUUUGGCACCUCGAUGUCGGCUCAUCACAUCCUGGGGGUGUAGAAGCUCCCAAGGGUUUGGCUGUUCGCCAAUGAAAGUGGUACGUGAGCUGGGUUCAGACCGUCGUGAGACAGGUCGGUCCCUAUCUGCCGUGGGCGUACGAAACUUGAGGAGCCUCUUCUUUAGUACGAGAGGAUUUGGAAGGACUCAGCUCUGGUGUACCAGUUGUCACGCUAGUGGCAUGGCUGGAUAGCUAUCUGGGGAAAGGAUAAACGCUGAAAGCAUCUAAGCGUGAAGCCCGCUCCAAGACAAGGUUUCGUAAGAGCAGAGCUCGAAAGUCCCCUUGAAGACGACAAGGUAACAUAGGCCGGAUGUGUAAGUGGGGUUAACCCAUUCAGCUUACCGGUACUAACGGACGAACGCUUGGCCAC